GACUCAGUGGUGUAAUGCUCAACACACCAGCUCACUAUGAGGUCUUAGUGUUACUGCAGUAAGCUGGAGUUCCCCGUUCGACUCGGGGCUGGGUCA